rnacentral:rRNA from 1 species
GAGUUUGAUCCUGGCUCAGAUUGAACGCUGGCGGCAUGGCUAAAACAUGCAAGUCGAACGAUUAAAGCUUCUUCGGAAGUAUAUAAAGUGGCGUAAGGGCGAGGAAUAUAUUUCUAUGUACCCCUAAGUCAAGGAUAGCCCAGGGAAACUUGGAGUAAUACUUGAUGUGGUCUCCGGAUCAAAGAUUUAUCGCUUAGGGAGCAGGGAAUAUCCUAUCAGGUUGUUGGUGAGGUAACGGCUCACCAAGCCAAAGACGGGUAGCGGGUGUGAGAGCAUGACCCGCCGCAUCGGAACUGAGACACUGUCCGGACUCCUACGGGAGGCUGCAGUAACGAAUAUUCCGCAAUGAGCGAAAGCUUGACGGAGCAAUGCCGCGUGUAGGAUGAAUCUCUUCGGAGUGUAAACUACUGUCAGAGACUAGGAACUCAAUGACCAAUCUCAAAGGAAGGGCCGGCUAACUUCGUGCCAGCAGCCGCGGUAAUACGAAGGGCCCGAGCGUUAUUCGGAAUCACUGGGCUUAAAGCGUACGUAGGCUGGUAUAUAGGCGUCUUGUGAAAUCCCUCGGCUCAACCGAGGAACUGCAAGGCGAACCAUAUAUCUUGAGACAGACAGAGGUCGUCGGAACGAUUGGUGGAGUGGUGAAAUGCGUUGAUAUCAAUCGGAACGCCGAAUGAGAAGUCAGGCGACUGGGUCUGUUCUGACGCUGAGGUACGAAAGCGUGGGUAGCGAACGGGAUUAGAUACCCCGGUAGUCCACGCCGUAAACAAUGUGCACUAUGUCGAGGGCGUUCUGACGCGACUCUCGGCCGAAGCGAAAGCAUUAAGUGCACCGUUUGACAUACACGGAUUAGCUAUAAGAAACUAUAGUGACACCUUCGGGUGGAACGUGAACAGGUGCUGCAUGGCUGUCGUCAGCUCGUGCUGUGAAGUGUCGGGUUAAGUCCCUUAACGAGCGCAACCCUUAUCGUUAGUUGCUAACAGGUAAUGCUGAGGACUCUAGCGAGACUGCCGGUGUUAAACCGGAGGAAGGUGGGGAUGACGUCAAGUCCGCAUGGCCUUUAUGCCUAGGGCUGCACACGUGGUACAAUGGCAAGUACAGAACGAUGCAAUACCGCGAGGUGGAGCAAAUCGCUAAAGCUUGCCCCAGUUCGGAUUGCAGGCUGCAACUCGCCUGCAUGAAGUUGGAAUCGCUAGUAAUCGCGGAUCAGCACGCCGCGGUGAAUACGUUCCUGAGUCUUGUACACACCGCCCGUCAAGUCAUGGAAGCUGGUAGUGCCUUAAGUCGCCGAGAUUCAUCGGUGCCCACGGCAAGACUGGUGACUGGGAGUAAGUCGUAACAAGGUAGCCGUAGGGGAACCUGCGGCUGGAUCACCUCCUUUCU